rnacentral:rRNA from 1 species
GGAGUUAGGAAAUGUAAGUGCGCUAAUAUCGCAUUUAUUUGACGAAGGCUCCAGAGGAAGCCACGGCUAACUCUGUGCCAGCAGCCGCGGUAAUACAGAGGUGGCAAGCGUUGUUCGGAAUUAUUGGGCGUAAAGAGCACGUAGGUGGGUUUGUAAGUCAGAUGUGAAAGCCUUCUGUUCAACGGAAGAAUUGCAUCUGAAACUACAAGUCUUGAGUGUAGGAGGGGAGAGUGGAACUUCUGGU